rnacentral:rRNA from 1 species
UACGGAGGGGGCUAGCGUUGUUCGGAAUUACUGGGCGUAAAGCGCGCGUAGGCGGACCUGCAAGUCGGGGGUGAAAGCCCGAGGCUCAACCUCGGAACUGCCUUCGAUACUGCGGGUCUCGAGUCCGGGAGAGGUGAGUGGAAUUCCAGGUGUAGCGGUGAAAUGCGUAGAUAUCUGGAGGAAUACCGGUGGCGAAGGCGGCAUCC